rnacentral:tRNA from 1 species
GCUCCGGUAGCUCAGUUGGAUAGAGCAGCCGCCUCCUAAGCGGCAGGUCGGACGUUCAAAUCGUCUCCGGGGCA